UAGGGAAUCUUCGGCAAUGGACGAAAGUCUGACCGAGCAACGCCGCGUGAGUGAAGAAGGUUUUCGGAUCGUAAAACUCUGUUGUUAGAGAAGAACAAGGACGUUAGUAACUGAACGUCCCCUGACGGUAUCUAACCAGAAAGCCACGGCUAACUACGUGCCAGCAGCCGCGGUAAUACGUAGGUGGCAAGCGUUGUCCGGAUUUAUUGGGCGUAAAGCGAGCGCAGGCGGUUUCUUAAGUCUGAUGUGAAAGCCCCCGGCUCAACCGGGGAGGGUCAUUGGAAACUGGGGGACUUGAGUGCAGAAGAGGAGGGUGGAAUUCCAUGUGUAGCGGUGAAAUGCGUAGAUAUAUGGAGGAACACCAGUGGCGAAGGCGGCUCUCUGGUCUGUAACUGACGCUGAGGCUCGAAAGCGUGGGGAGCAAACAGG
rnacentral:rRNA from 3 species